rnacentral:rRNA from 1 species
CAAUCCCUGAGUAAAGUGGCGACCGGGUGAGUAACACGUGACUAACCUACCCUCGAGUGUGGAAUAACAUCGGGAAACCGAUGCUAAUACCGCAUAACAUCGCAAGAUCAAAGCAGCAAUGCGCUUGAGGAGGGGGUCGCGGCUGAUUAGCUAGUUGGCGGGGUAACGGCCCACCAAGGCGAAGAUCGGUAGCCGGCCUGAGAGGGCGCACGGCCACACUGGAACUGAAACACGGUCCAGACUCCUACGGGAGGCAGCAGUGGGGAAUUUUGCGCAAUGGGGGAAACCCUGACGCAGCAGCGCCGCGUGGAGGAUGAAGCCCCUUGGGGCGUAAACUCCUUUCGACCAAGACGAUAAUGACGGUACUGGUGGAAGAAGCACCGGCUAACUCUGUGCCAGCAGCCGCGGUAAU